rnacentral:misc_RNA from 1 species
UCACAUGACCUUCAUCUUACUGGUGAGCACUUGUAAAUAUUGCAGUACACAUCCAUCCGUGCCACUCUCACGUGGUGUGUUUAGAAGAUAAUUAUGUCUUAGUUAAACAUAAUGAACUUUUUAGAGGCGAAGAUUACUAGUAAAACAUGGUGGGCCUUUAUGUAUCAUUAGUAGAUAACGACAAAGGUGUUGCCAGUGCUUGUUGCGUGUAUUCCUAAAUCAUAAUGCCCCAGUCCAAAGAAAUGAAAAAAUAAAAGGUGACGAGUCCUAUUUUUUUCAGUUCAAGAUAGUUUGCGAAUUUUUCGAUGUAAAUCUAGUUUGACGAGUCCUAAGGGUUCUUAAUUAGUUGGGGAGCUUUACAAAAGAUUAAGGGGGAAAAGGCUUGAAGGCUUAUUUUGUUUUAACUAUUGAUUAUUUAAAAAAUUUUAUUCCUAUGCAUACCACAGUAGGUUGUGGGGUUAGGUCACUUAUCCCUUACAUGCGGGCUGCUUUAUUAUUUUUCAAAAUUUUUUUUUGAGCUUGUUAACUGUGUUGCACUAACUCACCCCAACUCUUUGUUAUCACAUAAUGACGUGACAGAACUGAUGAUCGUGAUGAAUUUGAUUGCAGGAGGGCAGCACACACAUCUGUAUACGACAAGAACCUGGAUGAUAAUGUUAACGCAAGCGCGGUCCCUGACGACGUGAUUCAGCCAGAGUCAGACAAAUAUUGGGCACCCCAUCCGCAAACUGGUGUAUUCGGGCCUGCCACCGAGCCACACUCGGCGGCAGGCGGAGAGCGGGGCGUCUCUGCAUCACCUGCUAACACUGAUCCGAGCUCAGUUUUAGAGGAAAAGGCCUGGUUCCGCCCCACCAGCCUUGAGGACUUGGAGAAGCCGAAUCACGCUUGAGACUACCUGCAUAAAGCAUAUAUGAGUGUGCCCUGGUUUAUGAAUAAAUGCUGUGAAAUAUUACCAGCUUAUAAAGGUUUGAUGAUAUAAACUGUUAAGUACUGUGCAUGCUGGUGAGGAAGGCUUUUUUGUUUUUUUUUUCCAAAGGCGUGGAAGUAGCUAUAUAUGCAAACUUACAUAUUCAGUUGUGACAUGCUUGAUGUACGGAUGUUUGUGGAUCACGAAUUCACAGUAAUAUGUUACAAAAUAUUUGAUAAGUUUGUGAGAUUGGAUGAGGCUUUUUAUGUAAAGGCCCUUUUAAACCUUGUGG